rnacentral:rRNA from 1 species
GCGACCCCAGGACGGGCGAGGCCCCCGCCGAGUUUAAGCAUAUCAAUAAGCGGAGGAGAAG